GACGAACGCUGGCGGCGUGCUUUACACAUGCAAGUCGAACGGAAAGGCCCUGCUUUUGUGGGGUGCUCGAGUGGCGAACGGGUGAGUAACACGUGAGUAACCUGCCCUUGACUUUGGGAUAACUUCAGGAAACUGGGGCUAAUACCGGAUAGGAGCUCCUGCUGCAUGGUGGGGGUUGGAAAGUUUCGGCGGUUGGGGAUGGACUCGCGGCUUAUCAGCUUGUUGGUGGGGUAGUGGCUUACCAAGGCUUUGACGGGUAGCCGGCCUGAGAGGGUGACCGGCCACAUUGGGACUGAGAUACGGCCCAGACUCCUACGGGAGGCAGCAGUGGGGAAUAUUGCACAAUGGGCGGAAGCCUGAUGCAGCAACGCCGCGUGCGGGAUGACGGCCUUCGGGUUGUAAACCGCUUUCGCCUGUGACGAAGCGUGAGUGACGGUAAUGGGUAAAGAAGCACCGGCUAACUACGUGCCAGCAGCCGCGGUGAUACGUAGGGUGCGAGCGUUGUCCGGAUUUAUUGGGCGUAAAGGGCUCGUAGGUGGUUGAUCGCGUCGGAAGUGUAAUCUUGGGGCUUAACCCUGAGCGUGCUUUCGAUACGGGUUGACUUGAGGAAGGUAGGGGAGAAUGGAAUUCCUGGUGGAGCGGUGGAAUGCGCAGAUAUCAGGAGGAACACCAGUGGCGAAGGCGGUUCUCUGGGCCUUUCCUGACGCUGAGGAGCGAAAGCGUGGGGAGCGAACAGGCUUAGAUACCCUGGUAGUCCACGCUGUAAACGGUGGGUACUAGGUGUGGGGUCCAUUCCACGGGUUCCGUGCCGUAGCUAACGCUUUAAGUACCCCGCCUGGGGAGUACGGCCGCAAGGCUAAAACUCAAAGGAAUUGACGGGGCCCCGCACAAGCGGCGGAGCAUGCGGAUUAAUUCGAUGCAACGCGUAGAACCUUACCUGGGUUUGACAUGGAUCGGGAGUGCUCAGAGAUGGGUGUGCCUCUUUUGGGGUCGGUUCACAGGUGGUGCAUGGCUGUCGUCAGCUCGUGUCGUGAGAUGUUGGGUUAAGUCCCGCAACGAGCGCAACCCUUGUUCACUGUUGCCAGCACGUUAUGGUGGGGACUCAGUGGAGACCGCCGGGGUCAACUCGGAGGAAGGUGGGGAUGACGUCAAGUCAUCAUGCCCCUUAUGUCCAGGGCUUCACGCAUGCUACAAUGGCUGGUACAGAGAGUGGCGAGCCUGUGAGGGUGAGCGAAUCUCGGAAAGCCGGUCUCAGUUCGGAUUGGGGUCUGCAACUCGACCUCAUGAAGUCGGAGUCGCUAGUAAUCGCAGAUCAGCAACGCUGCGGUGAAUACGUUCCCGGGGCU
rnacentral:rRNA from 1 species